GUAUGUCGUGACGUCACGCGGGGGCCUGUCUGUGACGUCGCGUUUGGGUAAAUCAAAGCUAGUUGCGAAGCUAGCGGUCGCGCUCAUUCAUUUAAACAAGAGUUUCCGUUAAAUCAAACCGGCCGGGGUUGUGGGGUGACCCGUGGGCACGCGUGGACCUCUAUCCGGAUCCACACCGACCGUGUAGGAACGAUCUAACCCGGGAUAGAUCUGAUAAUUUAGCUCUGUUAGCCUCCCGGUACCUGGGAUCAGCUAACUCAGCUGGCUAACAAGCUAACAACAACAACAUUGGUGUGACGCUGUCAGUUAGCAGGUGAACAUGGCGGAGUCCAGCGGGCUGAUCGAGGUCACGGUGAAGACUCUGGACUCUCAGAGCCGGAGCUACAGAGUGUCAGGAGAGCUCACAGUGAAGCAGUUUAAGGAGCACAUAGCUGCAUCAGUGGAGAUCCCUGUGGACAAACAGAGGCUCAUCUAUCAGGGCCGAGUGCUGCAGGAUGAACGCACCCUCACCGAGUACAAUGUUGACGGGAAGGUGAUCCACCUGGUGGAGCGGGCCCCCCCUCAGGCAUCCAUGACCGGUUCAGGGGGGGCAGGUGUUUCCUCCGGGGGAGAAGAGGGUGGAGUCAGCAUGAGCAGCCACGCCUCCACCUCCUCGCAGCAUGCACCACAUGACCGCAACGGCAACAGCUACGUCAUGCUGGGGACUUUCAACCUGCCCGUUAACAUCAUGGACCCCCAGCAGCUACAGAUGUCGAUGCAGCAGAUGAUGUCUGGAGUCGGUGAAGCUGGAAGGAACACCCGAGUCAGCAGCAGCUCCGGGAGUAACGGCUCAGUGGACGUGCAGAUUAACGUGGACCCGGCGGUGCAGAGUGAGUCCAGGAUGAGGCUGCAGCUGGCUGAGAACCUGCUGAGAGAUGCCUGCUCCCUGAUCCACAGGCUGGAGGGAGUUUCCAGUGAUUCACAGCCAGACGUCCCUCCGUCCUCUUCCUCACCGCCUCCAUCCUCCUCCUCUUCCUCUCCUGAUGGAGGAGCUGCAGCCGCUCAGCCCACGGACACCAGCUCUGCUCCUUCCUCCUCCACCUCCACGCAGACUGAGGGAGCGGCAGGCAGCAGCAGCAGGGGGUCCAGCCACCCGAGCCCUGCAGAGUUUGUGGAGGUGCUGUCAGAGGUGAGGAGGGUGGAGGAGCGGUUACGGCCCUUCAUAGAGAGAACACACUCCAUCCUGGGAGCAGCAACAUCUGCAGACUACAACAACAACACUCAGGAGAGGGAGGAGGAUCAGCGCGUGCUCAACCUGGUUGCCGAUGCCCUGCGUCUCCUUGGCAACACCUUGGUCGUCCUGGGCGACCUGCGCUGCAACCUGGCGAGCUCUCCUCCUCGCCACCUGUACGUGAUCCGACCGAUCACCCACUACUCCCCGCCGGUGCUGGUCCAGACCGGUCUACCUCACGUCCCCCUCCCAAUUAAUUUGGGUACGACCGUCACCAUGACGUCCAAUGGCAGACAGGCAGCUGAAGGACCACCUUCCCACGCUGCCGGCCAAUCGGAUCAGCAGGCUGCGGGCCAGGCCGCGCCUCCUCCGUCUAAUGUGACCAAUCCUCAAGCAGGAGCUGGAGGACCCCGAGUGAUCCGGAUCACCCACCAGACCAUGGAGCCUGUGGUGAUGAUGCAGAUGAACAUCGACGGUGAGUCAGCUGCUUCCUCUCAGGCUGCAGGUCAGACUCAUGCUGCAGGUACAGCACAGACAGGUCUCCCCCCUGAGUUCAUGCAGGCCAUCGUGCAUCAGAUCUCCCAGCAGGCAGCUGUCAUGGCUGCUGCAGCCUCGGGGGGAGCCCCCCAACAGGUCACACCUGGAUCAGCACCCAGCACUGAGGGCAUCAACCCGUCACAGCUCCCCCACCCAGCCCAGGCCAGGGUGGUCAUCACCAGACCCUCCUUCUCCCCCCGUGUCCCCCCACCUGUUGGAACCAGAGGAGCCACAAUCAACCUGAGAGCCACAGUGCCCCCUGCUGGCCUGCAGCACGGACAGGCUCCUCCUCUUCCUCCCUCCUCCCUCACUCAGAUGAUCAGUGGUCUGGUGGGACAGCUGCUGACUCCGGGUCACACAGGUGACCACAUGCCCUCCUCCUCUGACUCCUCCACGUCUCCUAACACCUCCUCUCAGACCUCCACACACACCACCAGCACCACCUCCACCGCGCAGCCAGCGGAGGCCUCUGCUGAGGGGAACCUGGCCCAGCUCCUGGGCUCUCUGCUGGGGGGGUCGGCAGGAGGAGGAGGGGGGGUCCCAGGGUCAGGACAGGCCCCCUCCAUCACUGUGACUCUGCCAGGGGGACCGGGCUUCUUCCAGGGUCUGUUGGACUACAACCAGCCAUCUGUCAGUGCUCCCGGACCCCCGCCCCCUUCUCAGUCUGUUGGCCCCGACCCCACUCCGCCUGCCAGCGGUUCAGAGUCUCUGAGCCCCGAGCUGUUCACGGGCAUCGUGCAGGGCGUCCUGUCCACCAUGAUGAGCUCUCUGGGAGCUCAGCAGGGGAGCGGAGAGAGCAUCGCCCAGUUCAUCCAGAGACUGUCCCAGACCAGCAACCUGUUCACCCCGGGCUCCGGGGACGCCGUGGGGUUCUUCGGGGACUUGCUGUCUCUGGUGUGUCAGAGGUUCUCCAUGGUGGACAUGGUUCUGCUGCUGCACGGGAACGCUCAGCCUCUGACCCGCAUCCAACCCGAGCUCAGAGACUUCUUCACCGAGCACUACCUGCAGGGCCGAGAGCCCACGCAGAGCAACAUUAAUGCAGCAGCCGAGGAGCUCAUUAACGGCCUGGAGGAAUACAUCACUGACAGCUUUUCCUCAGUUACAGUCAGAGAGGGGGUGGACAUCGUGCAGACCAACCUGUCGUUCCUCAGACUGAAGUUCACUCAGAUGGCGUCUCACAUCCUGCACUGCUCAGAUCACACGUUCGGGCCCCGCCUCCUGCUGCUGUGCACUCAGGGUCUGUUUGAGUGUUUGGCUCUGAACCUGUUCUGCCUGAGAGGAGAGCAGAGAGCGCUGACUGCUGUCAUCAACCACCGCAUCAGGAGGAUGUCUGCAGAGGUGAAUCCCAGUUUGGUGAACUGGCUCACCAGUAUGAUGUCUAUGAGGCUUCAUGUGAUUCUGGAUCACAACCCGGUCACUGAGGACCAGAUCCAGCACUACGUGAUCUACACACAGGUGAACCAGAGGACUGAGGCGGAGGUGGGCCCCCCCUCACAGAGUCUGAAUGUGGAGAUGGAGGAGAGUAUGUCCCCCUCAGAGGAGGGAGGAGAGAGAGAAGCGCUUUCAUCAGACCCUCAGUGUCAUGAAGCGGCCGUCCCAGCCCAGGAGGGGGAGGAGGAGAGGGAGGUGGUGGAGACAUGGGCAGCAGCGGUCCCACCUGAGUGGGUUCCCAUCAUCAGACAUGACAUGCUGUCUCAGAGGAAGAUCAAAGCCCAGCCCCCCCUCUCUGACGCCUACCUGCAUGGCAUGCCAGCCAAGAGGAGGAAGACGAGUCAGAGUGACGGCCCUCAGCUGUCUCUGUCGGACGCUGUGAGCCGAGCUGCUCGAGCUGCCGGAGCGCUUCCUGUCACCCCCCCGCACAGCCUGCAGGGGGAGCUGGAGAGCCCUGAGCUGCAGGAAGAGUACACCCAACAGGUGAGGAGUGACAUUAGUGAGCGAGUUAGAGAUGAUCCGGACUACAACUCCCAGAGGUUCCCGAACACACAAAGAGCUUUCUCUAUCGAGGACUCGUAGUCCUCCACACACCUGAUCCGCAGACCUGACGCACAGAGAAACAAGUCCAAGAUCUGAACUCUACUAAUAAUCCCAACCUGCAGACUGCGGACCCCUCUGGAUCAUCCCUCGGCUCCUAGACUCUGACGACGGUCUCUGUGAUGAUUCAGAGAAAUAAUCUCUGAGAAUAAAAAAGCAGCAGCAGAGGAGGAUAAAUUGAAUCUGAGGGUCUGAUCCUCAGCCGGCCUGAAGAAGUCUGAUCCUCCUCAGAUCCAGAAUCGUCAGAGGACCAGGUCCACAGGACUGAAGCAGGCCCAGUCACAAAACUGUGAGAUAUUGCAGCUCUACAUGUGGAGAUGAAGCCACACUGAUUGGUACAGGAUGAUGACGACACACACACACACACACACGGCUCUGAUGUGUGACCAUAGACUGUUUAUACAAACGGACAGCGUGCCUCGGCCUCCUCCUGGUAAGCAGGAUGAAGCCAGAAUAUCCCAGAGACCCGGAAAGUUCAGAGACUCUCGCCGUUUCUGCUGAUAAUCUGGUGCACACUGUGGCGCAGACGCGGCAAUUGUGAACAGGCCGGUCACUCACAGGUUUUUGACCGUUUUAGAGAAUCAAAUAACGUCUCAGAGAAAUAUGACUUGAACACAAAACAGCGUGGUAACUAUGAUUCAAAAAACAUUAUCUGGAGUGCAUUUUGAUCUAGUAUUUGAUUCAGGUCUUAUUUGUGAACGUGGAGGAGCCGGGGUUUAUCUACUGCAGCCAAUCAGCAGGCUUCACUCCCAGGCGGCUGUCCCUCCGUCCAUCUGAAUAGACAGUCUACAUGUGUGACAGGUACGGCAUGCUUAUUGCUCUGUUUGAAGGAGAACUACACAUUAAGAAGCCUCAGUAUGUACAGCUGCUCAUCCGGGAUAAAUUAAAGGUUCAUGUAUGUUCAGGCAAACAGGACGUCAUGUCAGGUUCAGGUGAUCGGGUACAGUCUGAGGAUCAUCACACUGCGGAGGCUGUGAGUAUCUGUACAGUUUGUGUGGAUUAAAUACUAAAGAGUC